rnacentral:rRNA from 1 species
CGGCAACAGCUCAAAUUUGAAAUCUGGCCCCCGCCGGGGUCCGAGUUGUAAUUUGGAGAGGAUGCUUCGGGGAGGCCGCCGGCCUAAGUUCCUUGGAACAGGACGUCACAGAGGGUGAGAAUCCCGUACGUGGCCGGAGAGGCGCCCCGCGUGAAGCUCCUUCGAC